rnacentral:rRNA from 1 species
AUGACUUCGGUCAUGGGGUCUUCGUCCCAGAAGACUCCGGUCCCGCUGUCUUCUUCCCACGAGACUCCGGUCCCGCCAUCUUCUUCCCACGAGACUCCGGUCCUGCCAUUUUCUUCCGACGAGACUCCGGUCCCGCCGUCUUCUUCCCAUGAGACUCCGAUCCCGCCGUCUUCUUCCCACGAGACUCCGGAGGCUAGUUGCCCGGAUGAUGGUAGCGAGGACACCUUUUCAGAUGAUAGCUACAAUGAGACGAGCAGAAUAAUGCUAGGACUGUGCAUGUCUGCUCUAGAGCACGUACUCGAGGGGGCACAUGGCCACUGCACUACACGCAGAGUCGCGGUGCACUUCACCGCCACAGCCUUUGCUGCUCCAGCGGCGGAGGGCCAGGCUGCAGUGUUCCUCCACGGCUCCACCCACUACCGCAUGCGACCCACUGCGGCAUGCGAGCUGCAGAUGCACGUGCAUGAGAGCUGCAUGCAAUACGCCCGCGAGCUGCACACACAUGCGGCCCCUGGAGAUGGGAGGGGAGCUUCUUGCAUGCCAUUGGAGCGGUCAGAGAGGAACAACAACCGUCCAUUGCCGGCAUUGGGAGGAGGGCCCUAUGGUAUCCAUACUAGGAGGGAGCAACGUGUAGAUGGGACGGAGGCGCCGGCAUGUGGCCAAGCAAGGGGUUGGCCUGAGCUCGAGGCAGAGGAGAGGAGGGGAGUGCACGCGGCUGGGAGGCCUGCAACAAGCGUCACCAAUGCCGGCGAGGUCAUGGAGGAGAUGGGAUGCAGGUCAUCAUCGGCGGUCCGGUGGUCGGGGCGGCAGAGUUCGUGGCAAGAGAGCGGGCGGGGCUCUACCAAACUGCACACAGGGAUGGAGGAGAGGCGAGGUGGACGAUGUCUGAAGCCUCGAGCUCUCCUGGAUCUCGUACUGCAUGCCAUCGGGGGGCGGACUGCGCAUGCACUGCCUCAUGGAUCUGGCGUUGGGGCGGAUCCGAUGCUGGCGGAUCAGACCCGGCGAGGGCGUCAUGGAUCUGGCGUUGGGGUGACUCCCCAUGGAUCUAAUGCCCGUCAGGCGAUGAGGUGGCGGAUGAUGGCUGGCGUGCCGUUCGGGGAUGUCACGGCGCCAGCCAUCCAGCACACCGGCGCUGGUGCGGCCAAUAGCUGUGGAGGAGGCUGGAGGGCGGACUCGGUCGGGAGGCAUAUGGGGGAGGGGCGGCGCCGGGGGCUAGGAGGAAGGUGGGGGAGGGAGGUGGCGGCUCAUGUGGAGGAGGUGACGCCGGAUCCAGGCUGUCGCGGCUCCGGGGCGAUGGCCAUGACGCGGAUCCGGUGGCAGCCGGGGGGGCGCGAGACGAGGAGGAAGGCGAGGGGGCUAGGUGGAAGACCAUCGCGGCUCCAGGCCGGUGGCCAUGGGGCGGAUCCGGUGGCAGCCUGGGCGAAGGAAUGGAGGAAGGUGAGGGGGAGGGGGCGUGUCGGGAAGAAGGGAGGGCUCCCCCGACACCGCAGCACCAAUGGUGAGGCCGUGCGCUGCGCCGCGUGCCUUUGGAGUGACAACCGGGCCAUGCGGAUCUCAGUCAUGUCGCCAACGUCGGGUUGUGGCUCAUCGAUCCCAUCUAGAUGCGGGGUAGGAGACGUGAGUGGCGGGGUGGUCGGCUGCCCGAUAGUUGGGCGCGCGAUCCGAACCACCAUCGUGCGUUGUGCAUUUGGUGCGCCCGCUUCCGCGCGUGCCACACUCGAGCGCUCGCGCCCCAGUCUCUCGGCCGCGCCACCUUUGCCACGCACGCGCCGCCGCCGGCGAACUGGCCCGUUGGACGCCCGCGCCGGCACCCCCUCACCCCUUCCUACAGCCGACCACUCCAUCGUCACCGCCGCCGCCGGCGCAACUCCUAGCGCGGGGAGCUUUGGCUUCGCCCCCACCGGAGUUCCCUCGAGCACCGGAUCGCGCGGCCUCUUCAUGCCGUUGCGGAUGACCUCGACGGCGGGUGGCGUCACAUCGGCGCCCGCCGUACCACGCGCCCCCUCUCGGAGCUCCCAAACGCGGCGCGACCAAAGAAGGGCAAGGUUUCCGGUAAGAAGAACAAGGCGGCGGACGGCUCCGGCUCCUCCAAGCAGUCGAGGAAGAAGCUUGCAGGGCGUGCGACGGGCGCGGCGGCUACCGAAGCGCCAGCGGGCUCACUUGUUGAGCCGGCAGCCGACAGGCACAAUGUCUUUGUGGAAAUGCCCGAAAGAUAGCUUAUUUGCAUUGUUCUACAUACUUUGUAGUGUCAACGAUGAUGCAUACAUGUCAACUAUGGGUCUUGGCUCCAACAAUUCGCAUUGGUCUCAAACCAAUGACAUGCAUUUCAAAAACCAUGAGUUUGAGGUGGAAGAGGAUGGUGAGAGCAUUGUCGACGCACCGAAAGGAAGAGGAGGCAAAUACACCAACGACGAAGACGUCUUGCUAUGCAAAACUUGGUUGGACGUGUCGAGGGAUCCAUCCGUUGGAGGUGAUCAAAGUAGAGAUGCUUAUUGGCUCCGGAUGAAAGAACACUUUGAUCUACACAACGUGAGUGGAAUUGACCGCUCCGAUCAAUCUCUUCGCUCUUGGUGGUCGACAAUCAACACAGAUUGUCAACAAUGGGCGGCAGCACAAAAGGCGGUUGACAAGUUGAACCCAAGUGUCACUAAUGAUGAAGAUAGGUUAAAUAUUGCACAAAACUUGUUCAAAGGAGAGGAGAAGAGGACCAAGAAGGGGAAGAUCAAGAAAGGAAGGCCAUUUACCUUGCCUCAUUGCUAUGAAGUAUUGAAGGAUGAUGAGAAGUGGAAGAAGCGAAAGAAAAGAAGUCAACGAGGUGAUGAAGAUGGCAAGGAACCAAGAUGUCGCGACCGAGAGGAGGUUGGCAACAGAGGAGAUAAAGAUGGCAUUGGAGGAUGGAAGGCGGGCAUGGAGGAGCGAUCUAAAUUGUUGGAAUGGGAGAAGCACUUGUUCUUCUUGGACACAUCUAUUUUCAAUGAUGCGCAAAAGGAGUAUGUCAAUCUUGCUCGUGAAGAAGUCCUGAUCCAAAAAAGAGCCAUGAUUCCUGCAAUGGGUGGCGGUGGCCUUGGCGGCAUGUGUAGCUUUGGAGCUAGCAUGGGCAGCAUGGGUGCCAUGGGUGGCUUUGGAGCUACCAUGGAGACCAUGGGAGGCAUGGGUGGCUUCGGAGCACCUUCGGGCGGCAUGACCGAUGUGGGUGGCAUGAGUUUUGCGUCUCUCAUUGGAGGCAUGGGUGCACCUCCGGGCGCCGGUGCGGCACUUUCGCAUGAAGAUGCCGUUGACGAUCUUGCCAACACCUUCCGAGCUUCUCGUGAUGAGGAUGCGGCGCGACAAUGA